CCUGAAAGAUCAGGGCCCCGCAGACAGUGACCCCUCCAUGCCCUGCAGAGACCAGGAGAUCCCCACCUUCGAGGAGUGGACCAAAAUCAUGCUGGAGGUGGAGAACGAGAAGACUCAGGUCACACACCCG